CCUACGGGCGGCUGCAGUGGGGAAUCUUGCGCAAUGGACGAAAGUCUGACGCAGCCACGCCGCGUGAGUGAAGAAGGCCUUCGGGUUGUAAAGCUCUGUCGAGCGGGACGAAAGGUUUGUAGUUAAUACCUGCAGACUUUGACGGUACCGCUAAAGGAAGCACCGGCUAACUUCGUGCCAGCAGCCGCGGUAAUACGCAGGGUGCAAGCGUUGCGCGGAAUUAUUGGGGGUAGUGGGCAGGUUGUUGGUCGAAAUCCUCGAGCUUAACUCGAGAAGUGCCUUGGAAACGGUAAGACUGGAGUACUGGAGAGGGUCGUGGAAUUCCCGGUGUAGCGGUGAAAUGCGUAGAGAUCGGGAGGAACACCAGCGGCGAAGGCGGCGACCUGGACAGUAACUGACACUCAACUGCGAAAGCGUGGGUAGCAAACAGGAUUAGAUACCCUUGUAGUC
rnacentral:rRNA from 1 species